AAGUCGUAACAAGGUUUCCGUAGGUGAACCUGCGGAAGGAUCAUUACAGAGAUUGGCUUCGGCCGAACUCCAACCCAUGUGUACCCUCUUCGUUGCUUCGGCGUUCGCGCCGGAGGACAAAUUCUGAACCUUCAGUCUGAGUAAACAUAAUAAGUUAAAACUUUCAACAACGGAUCUCUUGGUUCCC
rnacentral:misc_RNA from 1 species